GCCCUGGUGGCACAAUGGUUAAGUGCUUGGCUGCUAACCAAAAGGUUGAUGGUUCGAACCCACCCAGCAGCU
rfam:Loxodonta africana unplaced genomic scaffold scaffold_4, whole genome shotgun sequence.